rnacentral:tRNA from 1 species
GCGCCCGUAGCUCAGCGGAUUAGAGUGGCAGACUCCGGAUCUGCAGGUCGGGGGUUCA